GUUCCACCCAGGAGGUAGAAGCACUCUUCCUUGGCGCAAACAGAGCACAGGUUCAGUAAAUGCUGGGAUUGAAUUGGCUGGCUGUCUUCAUUCUGCAAUGGACAAAAAGAAAAAGAAGUUUGAGUUGCAAAAUCUACAGAAUUCAAAGUGGUUCAUUACAAUGUAGAGGAAACAGGCUGAAUUGGUGCAUCAGGCUGUGGUCCAAGAGGGAGAGUGGCCAGGGGUCCUAAAGUCGGUGUCCUAAGGAGAUCCAAGCUGCAGAGCUGUAGCGCGAGGCCCUGGAUCGAAAGAACCCAGACAAGGAACCCCCAAUUAUCUAUGUUUCUAUAAGUGCUUUUCUAAAAGCAUGGUUUCUCACCUGAACCUGGUGUGCAGAUUCCCUUAUCCUGUCCCUUCCCUGUGCACCAAAGGUGAGAGUAGGAAUCCAAGUGCAGAGACAAAGGCUGGUCACCCAAGUAUGCAUCACUCCAAAAGAAGUUUGAGAGUCAAGGCCCUACACAAGCACAACAGGUAUAAACUGGGAUUUAUAAUGCCCUCUGCCUCGGAGAGACAGGCCAGCCCAAGGAACAUCCACUGUCCACAGGAGUAAGUCUGAGAUUGCAAACUGGGGAAGCAAAGGGAUGAAAUUAUUAUGUAAAGAAGAGUAUUGAGAGAGGUAAAUUGUGACCUGUGAGAGCAAAGCUAAGGCCUCCCUGUAAGAA